UUGGUGGUGAAAUCCCAGAGCUUAACUCUGGAACUGCCAUCAAAACUUUUCAGCUAGAGUAUGAUAGAGGAAAGCAGAAUUUCUAGUGUAGAGGUGAAAUUCGUAGAUAUUAGAAAGAAUACCAAUUGCGAAGGCAGCUUUCUGGAUCAUUACUGACACUGAGGAACGAAAGCAUGGGUAGCGAAGAGGAUUAGAUACCCUCGUAGUCCAUGCCGUAAACGAUGUGUGUUAGACGUUGGAAAUUUAUUUUCAGUGUCGCAGCGAAAGCGAUAAACACACCGCCUGGGGAGUACGACCGCAAGGUUAAAACUCAAAUGAAUUGACGG
rnacentral:rRNA from 1 species